UACGUAGGGCGCAAGCGUUAUCCGGAAUUAUUGGGCGUAAAGAGCUCGUAGGCGGCUUGUCGCGUCGGAUGUGAAAGCCCGGGGCUUAACUCCGGGUCUGCAUUCGAUACGGGCAGGCUAGAGUUCGGUAGGGGAGAUCGGAAUUCCUGGUGUAGCGGUGAAAUGCGCAGAUAUCAGGAGGAACACCGGUGGCGAAGGCGGAUCUCUGGGCCAUUACUGACGCUGAGGAGCGAAAGCGUGGGGAGCGAACAGG
rnacentral:rRNA from 1 species